UACGAAGGGGGCUAGCGUUGCUCGGAUUUACUGGGCGUAAAGGGCGCGUAGGCGGACAGUUAAGUUGGGGGUGAAAGCCCGGGGCUCAACCUCGGAAUUGCCUUCAAUACUGGCUGUCUUGAGUGUGAGAGAGGUGUGUGGAACUCCGAGUGUAGAGGUGAAAUUCGUAGAUAUUCGGAAGAACACCAGUGGCGAAGGCGACACACUGGCUCACUACUGACGCUGAGGCGCGAAAACGUGGGGAGCAGACAGG
rnacentral:rRNA from 1 species